CAUAUACUCCCUCCGUCCCAAAAUAAGUGACAUAAAAAUGACACAAACUUGCACUAAGUUAGUGCAAAUUUAAGUCACUUUUGAGUCACUUAUUUUGGGAUGAAGGGAGUAGAAA
rnacentral:pre_miRNA from 1 species